rnacentral:rRNA from 1 species
CGGCGAUCCCAAAAUGUCGCAGGGUAGGGAGGCAGGGCCUCGGCGGCGGAAGAAGCCAGAGAGGAAGGUUGGCGCGCGAGGCGGACGUGGGGCAGGGAUAAUAGCAGGUGGGGUUCAGGCCGGCUCUGCAGAAAGUCGGGUGGAGGUCAGUGUCUGGGGAGUGAUUGGUCGCUACCGGCCGCGGCAGCCGAAGGAGCGCCUGCACUUGCUGUUGACCGAAUUCGGUGCAGACGAGGCUCACCACCAACCGCUCGCCUACGGCGUCGGCCCCUCGUGGCAGGGCGGCCUCCUCGACCGGAGGUAGGAGCUCCGCCACGCGUGCGUGCCGGAGGAGUUGCUCCAGGAGGUCCUGGGCAGCCUGGUUUUCGAGCGGCUCCGCACCGCGCGGUGCCAGCUGCGGACCCAGCUCGCGCAGCCGCUCGAGCACCUCUCGCUGAGCGGUAUAUCAGCAACCAACCCUUGAACAAAAGAACCGCACUGAAAGGUUCUUACGUCGUCACUCGCGAAACGACUUAGUAUGAGACUAACCAAACUCUUCUAAGACUCCUUGAACGUCGUCCCUGGCAGAUCGAACGUUGAACAAUGACACCAGAGAACAUGAAGGUACAGACUAGAUAAACGCUCUAACCGCUUUAAAAACUUAAAUUUCUUUCUCCGUAGUAGGAAACGACCUUCUCAACAACUUGGUAACGACGACGAAAAUUUACUUUUACCAGGUCACCGCCUACUUCGUUAACUAAACGAUUCCUGUCAAUAAUUUAACAUAGGGAGUAGACAUUUAGCUGUGAUGUUAUUUCAGCUUAGGUGGUAACGUAGGUUCUAAUACUCAUGUCUUCAGUUACAUUUUAAUAGUUUCUUUAAACGCUCUCAGAAUCGUUACGAAGGAAGACAGGCUCAUAGACUCCCGUGAACCAGUAACUACUAAGUCUUUCAUGACUACCCAUAUUUGUUAGAAGACUUACUACGAAAACAACCCGACCUUCUUCUUUUCUUUCCCGCACUCUAAUACUACGAAGAUCAAGGUGGACCAUUACUGGGAGGUGGUCACAACCCUCUAGUUCAUUUCAACCCUCCGUUAAACGUACACUGUUUCUUUAAAGCACAGAAGUGACAAGGAUGAUAAAGUCGCGAACGGGUAACGACGACGUACUACGACUGAUCAGUAAUGGGCCAAGUCCAGUGGCAAGGACAGGCACGAAACUAUCGAGACAGUGCCUCUCACGAGAAUCAACUACCUAGUAACGUCUUCAGCAAGGGAAGUUGAUGAAGGAACGUGGUUCUCGAAUAAACAAAACUCGAAGGUAGUAACGUAAGUAGAAAGAACCUAAACGAGGUACGUUGAUAAUUUCCUUACGCUUCGGUUGAAAAUGGCGUACGACGAUUAUAACAUGCCGAACAUUGACUAAUGAAGUUUUAACGCUUCGACGGAUGAUGCUCCUGUUUUCAAAUGUCGUAACAAGUCGACAACGACUGGAGGUACCCACAACCUUACAGAGAGGUAAACAAUCUCCAUUAUCAGUCGUUACGUCAACCACUAGACCUACUAUUAACACAUUUUCUUUACUGAGAUAAGUCGUGUUUAGGUAGUUUUCCCUUAUCACUUAGAAACAGUUUUUCAAUGAGGUUCUUCUCCUUCGUUCUUGGUGUUUACGUUUUAAGUGUACGGAACCCAUACCUCUUUCGUCGUUAGUCGGGUUUCUUUUACUUUUGGAGAAGGUACGGUUGAAGUAGCUUCCCUUACUGGGGACUUUGAGGUCCUCUACAAUCUUACAAGUGUGGUGAGAGACAAUUUUAUCGACGUGAUCUUUGGAACCUUUAAGAAGACUUACACCCCCCAAGUAACUCCUGUCUAGUGACCUCCCGUUUUCACCUGAACGAGGAUUAAUUGUAUCGAUGUUCACGAACGCUGAGUCCUCGUCCCAUACUAGGUAGUUAUAGGUUUCAGCCCCUCUGUUCGUAUAGUCUGAUAGCUGAACGAAGUAACUUUCGUAACGACCGUAGAAAAGAAAGUAGAGGAGUACGGGCCGGUGAAAUAAAUCGGGUUCCUUGACUUGAUAAAUCUUUUCCCUUCGAUCUCUAUCCGUGAUGCGAGCGUCUCAAAACAAGCGUACGAAACGACCGAAACCUACAAGAAUGCGUGGGUGCUCGGGAAAGAGAUCUUUUCCGUCCAGGAAAUCAAGGACCUGAGUUGGCGUCACUUGGUCUUUUCCGUUAAAAACCACGAUCGUGUAAAUUGAAAAGUGGUAGGGUUCCCGUCGCCGUCCAAUAACGCCUACUUCUAUGAAUACUACUAACCAACGGUAGGUAGUUCCUAUUACUUGGCAGUCUUUUCAGGUGAGAACAUUUUCUUCAAGGCGUUUAACUAAGUGUAUGUUAACGACUCCGUCUUCUUCUACAAGGACGUACGUUGUCCUCACUAUGGUAAUACCACCAACGCCGGUGUCUUUUUUGGAGGCUCGGUUACUGUCACCUAUUAGGAAGAUCGAGGUUACAACGAAGUUUAGGUUAGAUGAGUUCCGGUGGACUUCGUGUCUUUCGACGUCGAUGGGGGAAAGCUCUCCUUUUCGCACGCCUAGUACAACUAAGAGAAGAAGUCUUAUUUUCGAGUCGACACCAGUUGGAUGGUAAGGCGUUAGACCGUUGGAGUCCACUUUUUGGUAGACUGGGUCCACAACGACGAGGCUCGUCGAUAUUUCUACAGAGAAGUUGGGCGAAGUAAGUCGGGUAGUUCCGUCUGAACAGACUAUGUCUCAGUCAUCUGAGCUACGGUCUCUAUGUUCUGCCGCUGGGCCUAAGACUGAUAACUCGAAGGAAGUUAGUUCCUAUUUGUAUAUGGGAACGGAAAAAAGCAGGUAGAAAUAGUCGUAUAGGGAACCCCAGCUCGGUAAAAACGGUAAGGGUUUUGCAUAUGGCUCAUAUACCGAGACAAAUAGAUUCUUACUGGUAGCCGAAUUGCAAGCUCAUAAGACAACGAAAGGCAUGUAUACUGUGAACGUACCAAACGGUCGCGGAAACACGGGUCACGUUCCUUCUACACCGUCGAGACAUCUUUUUAAUAUGCUCCUAAUCAAUAAUGAAAAAAACUCUUGGACUUCUCCCUGUUCAACUGUUUGCAAUUGGUACUUAAGGUUCGGUUUUUACUCACCACUAUGUUUGGUCGACAAGUUCGUCUUGUUAUUAUAUUUUGCGGUUACCAACUGAC